rnacentral:rRNA from 1 species
UACGAAGGGGGCUAGCGUUGCUCGGAAUCACUGGGCGUAAAGCGCACGUAGGCGGAUCUUUAAGUCAGGGGUGAAAUCCCAAGGCUCAACCUUGGAACUGCCUUUGAUACUGGGGAUCUUGAGUUCGGGAGAGGUGAGUGGAACUGCGAGUGUAGAGGUGAAAUUCGUAGAUAUUCGCAAGAACACCAGUGGCGAAGGCGGCUCACUGGUCCAUUACUGACGCUGAGGUGCGAAAGCGUGGGGAGCAAACAGGG